rnacentral:rRNA from 1 species
AUUAGAGUUUGAUCAUGGCUCAGGACGAACGCUGGCGGCGUGCCUAAUACAUGCAAGUCGAGCGGACCGACGGGAGCUUGCUCCCUUAGGUCAGCGGCGGACGGGUGAGUAACACGUGGGUAACCUGCCUGUAAGACUGGGAUAACUCCGGGAAACCGGGGCUAAUACCGGAUGCUUGUUUGAACCGCAUGGUUCAAACAUAAAAGGUGGCUUUUCGCUAUCACUUACAGAUGGACCCGCGGCGCAUUAGCUAGUUGGUGGGGUAACGGCUCACCAAGGCGACGAUGCGUAGCCGACCUGAGAGGGUGAUCGGCCACACUGGGACUGAGACACGGCCCAGACUCCUACGGGAGGCAGCAGUAGGGAAUCUUCCGCAAUGGACGAAAGUCUGACGGAGCAACGCCGCGUGAGUGAUGAAGGUUUUCGGAUCGUAAAACUCUGUUGUUAGGGAAGAACAAGUACCGUUCGAACAGGGCGGUACCUUGACGGUACCUAACCAGAAAGCCACGGCUAACUACGUGCCAGCAGCCGCGGUAAUACGUAGGUGGCAAGCGUUGUCCGGAAUUAUUGGGCGUAAAGCGCGCGCAGGCGGUUUCUUAAGUCUGAUGUGAAAGCCCCCGGCUCAACCGGGGAGGGUCAUUGGAAACUGGGGAACUUGAGUGCAGAAGAGGAGAGUGGAAUUCCACGUGUAGCGGUGAAAUGCGUAGAGAUGUGGAGGAACACCAGUGGCGAAGGCGACUCUCUGGUCUGUAACUGACGCUGAGGCGCGAAAGCGUGGGGAGCGAACAGGAUUAGAUACCCUGGUAGUCCACGCCGUAAACGAUGAGUGCUAAGUGUUAGAGGGUUUCCGCCCUUUAGUGCUGCAGCAAACGCAUUAAGCACUCCGCCUGGGGAGUACGGUCGCAAGACUGAAACUCAAAGGAAUUGACGGGGGCCCGCACAGGCGGUGGAGCAUGUGGUUUAAUUCGAAGCAACGCGAAGAACCUUACCAGG